rnacentral:rRNA from 1 species
AGGACGAACGCUGGCGGCGUGCUUAACACAUGCAAGUCGAGCGGUAAGGCUCCUUCGGGAGUACACGAGCGGCGAACGGGUGAGUAACACGUGAGUAAUCUGCCCUUCACUUCGGGAUAACCGCCGGAAACGGCGGCUAAUACCGAAUACGACGCACUCUCGCAUGAGAUGUGCGUGGAAAGUUUUCUCGGUGAAGGAUGUGCUCGCGGCCUAUCAGCUUGUUGGUGAGGUAACGGCUCACCAAGGCUUCGACGGGU